GACGAACGCUGGCGGCGUGGAUUAGGCAUGCAAGUCGAACGGUAUCAUCCUUUCGGGGGUGAGAGAGUGGCGAACUGGUGAGUAACACGUAGGUUAUCUACCCUCAAGACGGGGACAACCCAGGGAAACUUGGGCUAAUACCGGAUGUGAGCAACUUUUAGUUGUUUGAAAGGUGGCGUAAGCUGUCGCUUGGGGAUGAGCCUGCGUCCUAUUAGUUAGUUGGUGAGGUAACGGCUCACCUAGGCAAUGAUAGGUAGGCGGCCUUAACGGGUGGUCGCCCACACUGGGAUUGAGAUACGGCCCAGACUCCUACGGGAGGCAGCAGUCGAGAAUAGUCUACAAUGGUCGGAAGACUGAUAGUGCGACGCCGCGUGAACGAUGAAUCCCUUCGGGGUGUAAAGUUCUUUUAUAUGUGAGCAGUGCUUCUUAUAUUAACAGUAUGGGGAGAGAGAUAUUAGCAUAUGAAUAAGCAACGGCUAAACUCCGUGCCAGCAGCCGCGGUAAU
rnacentral:rRNA from 1 species